AGUUCACCGACACAGUCCGCGGUUCUCCCGGAGGACAUCAGCGGAGCAGCAUCCCGGUUCUCCAGGACGGAUGGUGACGUCUGAGCAAAACAACACAGCUUCUUCUUCUGUGAUUCCUGCCUUCAGCUGCUGGAGACUCUGGAAACCAGAGGGACUGAAGUAGACCUCAGAGCUGGAACACACUCCCUGAAAACCCGAUCAGAACCUGACUAGAACCCGAUCAGAACACAAUUAGAACCCAACCAAAACCCGACCAAAACCUGAAGGUUCCUCUGAAGCUGCAGUUUGUAACUUUAUUAAAUACUAAGUUUGUUUUC